GAUUUUAGAAUGCAGUUUUGAAAAAGCCCAACUUGAAAAUAGGUUAAGACAACUUGAAACGUAUCGUUUUCUGUUUCCUGUUCUUCUCCACCAUGGCCACGAAGCUCCAACUGUUUCGAUUCAUCUUCUUCCUCAGAGCUUGAUUUUCACCGGUUACGCAUUCAUCUUCUUAAAGUCGUCCUUGAUUUCAUCAUCCACGAUCUCCAUUUAUUGUAUGUUUCGCUCUUGCAAGGCGGUGGAGAAAUCUCAGUAUAAAAAGCCCGGCUGAUGUUCCUACACGAUUGAGGUGAUGUUGCUUCGUUUCUGGGAGGCUAGGAAUGUUAGGCAGGGUGAUGAACUCAAAACGAUGAAGAUCAAGGCUUAAAAUUAGGUGUAAUCAGAAUUUAGACUUUUAGACUCUCCGCUGUUGAUACGGUUCAGUGAUUCGAUCCGUUUUUAUGAGAAAUACAGUAAUGUUCUAUGAGUGAAAUCAAUUAAAACUUUUCGUUGAGAGACAAUAAUUUAAAAGUUUUACAAGGCUAUGGCUAUCGUUGUUUCUAUGUUUACUGAAGAGGAGACUGAGAGGUACAUAUCAUCUGGUUUGCUUUCUCCAAAUGUGGAGGCUAAGAUUGUGGAUCAGGAUACGGUCGUGUCUUGGGGUUUGAUCAAACUGGCGAACUCAGGUUCCGGAGUCCUACUGUGAUGAAAGGUUAUUUCAAAAACGUAGAAAGCUACUGCUUCUACUAUUGAUUCAGAAGGAUGGUUGAAGACCGGAGAUGUGUGUUACAUUAACAGUGAGGGUUUUGUCUUUGCUGUUGGUAGAUUAAAGGAGCUAAUCAAAUGCAACGGAUAUCAGAAGCAGUGUUGCUAGCUCAUCCAGAGAUUGCUGAUGCAGCAGUAAUACCUAUCCUGACAAGAAAGCUGGGCAAUAUCCAAUGGCAUAUAUCAUCAGAACAACUGGAAUCAACUUAUCCGAAAGUGAAAUCAUGAUCUUAGUCGCAAAGCAGGUGUUUUCAACCAUGCAGACCAUGUUUUGUAACUAAUCCAGCCGUGGUUCCUUAUAUUUAUUCUGAGUUUUGUUUGGAUUACGUAGGUAUCUCCAUACAAGAGGAUAUGUAAGGUCAGUCACGGUUUUGUCUUCGAUCCCCAAGAAUCCCUCUGGCAAGAUUUUAAGAAGAGAACUUAUAAAGCUCACAACCUCAAAGCUCUGGCAGGGAGCUGUGUCCACCAGCCUUAUCUCACACUUCACCAUUAGUUAACUCAUUUAUUUGGUUAAUUCCUCUAUAAAAAUCUCAGUCAAAACUGAAAUAUUACAAACUUAUCAAUUCUCAUACUGAAUCUCUGUUUCUCUGUAUAUACAAACAGAAUAUAUUACAUAAAUAAAUAAAAUCAAACGUUAUAAUAAUUAAAUAAAUAUAAUAUAACAAGACAUUAUGGGCCAAUAUUUAGCCAAUAUAGCUAGCAACCCCGUACCAGUUGGCUAGGGAGAAUCUAUGAAUUAUCAAAACAACUUAAAUUAGUGGAAGUAUUAUAAAUUAUGGGCAAACACUUGGCGAUAUUAAUCGAAUAUAACUUGUGACACAAACCACAAAAAUGAAACAAUACGAUAGUGUGUACAAUAAAUUAU